ACACGGCCCAAACUCCUACGGGAGGCAGCAGUAGGGAAUUUUCGUCAAUGGGGGGAACCCUGAACGAGCAAUGCCGCGUGAGUGAGGAAGGUCUUCGGAUCGUAAAGCUCUGUUGUAAGAGAAAAACGGCACUCAUAGGGAAUGAUGAGUGAGUGAUGGUAUCUUACCAGAAAGUCACGGCUAACUACGUGCCAGCAGCCGCGGUAAUACGUAGGUGGCGAGCGUUAUCCGGAAUGAUUGGGCGUAAAGGGUGCGUAGGUGGCAGAUCAAGUCUGGAGUAAAAGGUAUGGGCUCAACCCGUACUGGCUCUGGAAACUGAUCAGCUAGAGAACAGAAGAGGACGGCGGAACUCCAUGUGUAGCGGUAAAAUGCGUAGAUAUAUGGAAGAACACCGGUGGCGAAGGCGGCCGUCUGGUCUGGAUUCUGACACUGAAGCACGAAAGCGUGGGGAGCAAAUAGGAUUAGAUACCCUAGUAGUCCACGCCGUAAACGAUGAGAACUAGGUGUUGGGGGAAUAACUCAGUGCCGCAGUUAACGCAGUAAGUUCUCCGCCUGGGGAGUAUGCACGCAAGUGUGAAACUCAAAGGAAUUGACGGGGGCCCGCACAAGCGGUGGAGUAUGUGGUUUAAUUCGAAGCAACGCGAAGAACCUUACCAGGCCUUGACAUCCCUUGCAGAGGUAUAGAGAUAUAUCCGAGGUUAUCAAGGAGACAGGUGGUGCAUGGUUGUCGUCAGCUCGUGUCGUGAGAUGUUGGGUUAAGUCCCGCAACGAGCGCAACCCUUGUGAUAUGUUACUAACAUUGAGUUGAGGACUCAUAUCAGACUGCCGGUGAUAAACCGGAGGAAGGUGGGGAUGACGUCAAAUCAUCAUGCCCCUUAUGGCCUGGGCUACACACGUACUACAAUGGCGUCUACAAAGAGCGGCAAGCCUGUGAAGGCAAGCGAAUCUCAUAAAGGACGUCUCAGUUCGGAUUGAAGUCUGCAACCCGACUUCAUGAAGCUGGAAUCGCUAGUAAUCGCGAAUCAGCAUGUCGCGGUGAAUACGUUCUCGGGCCUUGUACACACCGCCCGUCAAACCAUGGGAGUUGGUAAUGCCCGAAGCCGGUGGCAUAACCCUUCGGGGAGUGAGCCGUCGAAGGCAGGACCGAUGACUGGGGUUAAGUCGUAACAAGGUAUCCCUACGGGAACGUGGGGAUG
rnacentral:rRNA from 1 species